rnacentral:rRNA from 1 species
UACGGAGGGUGCAAGCGUUAAUCGGAAUUACUGGGCGUAAAGCGUGCGCAGGCGGUUUGUUAAGUCUGCUGUGAAAUCCCCGAGCUCAACUUGGGAAUUGCAGUGGAUACUGGCAGGCUGGAGUAUGGUAGAGGAAGGUGGAAUUCCCGGUGUAGCAGUGAAAUGCGUAGAGAUCGGGAGGAACACCAGUGGCGAAGGCGGCCUUCUGGACCAAUACUGACGCUCAUGCACGAAAGCAUGGGGAGCAAACAGG